GACCCCGUAGCUCAGUUGGAUAGAGCACCAGCCUCCUAAGUUGGGGGUCGCGAGUUCGAAUCUCGUCGGGGUCG
rfam:Archaeon Heimdall AB_125 HeimAB125_contig000068, whole genome shotgun sequence.